rnacentral:lncRNA from 1 species
AAAGGGGGCAUGAGAUAAAGUGUGAGUGGGCAUGAGAUGUUUUGGUUUGCACCCCUACGUGCAAUAUAAAUAGGGGUGCACGUCGAGGAGUCUUCGUGCAUUCAGAAUUCUUCCUUCUUUCUUACAAGAGGCUUUUCUUAUCUAAUUUUCUUUAUUCUUUCUCUCUAGCCUAGAUAAAGUCCUAAUAAAAUACAAGAAGUCUUCCAAAAGGCUUAGAGAAUUAGAAUAAAAAUUAAGGAGACAAGGAGCAAGAAAGGAAGGCAAGAAAAGGUCCAACAGUGUGACAGCAAAGCCAAGAAAGGAGGUUCUACCCAAAUUGCAUUUAAAUUUUGAUAAAUUAGAAUUUAAUUGCAAAGAAUAUUUAAAUAGAUGCUAGUGGGUUGAUCGAGUCCCCAUGUGAAUCAACGUUGGAGGGUGAACAUGUGGGCACCUGGUGGAAACCCAGACGGAUUGCUGCCAACAACUAAGCAUAAAUUAGGGUCUAGCGAUAAGAGGUAUGUUUCUAUAUCUUUUAUUUUGAUAUUAAUGCAUAUUAUAUGGUUUAAUUUCUAAUAAGAUGAUCUUGGAGCUAGGUUUUGAUUUUUAUGAUUUCAUAAUAAUUGCUUUGAAAUCCGUGCUUCCACCAUUGUCACAAAACCUUUUAGUGGUAUCAGAGCCACCUUGUUAGAAUUAAAUCAUAUGAUGAUAUGUUAAUGAUUUAAUGGUAAUAUUAUAAAUAUGAUAUGUUCAUUAUUUAUGUUUUAAUAUGAUAUUAAUAUGAUGAGAUCAUAUUCAUUAUUUCA